rnacentral:rRNA from 1 species
GUGGGUAACCUGCCCAUCAGAAGGGGAUAACACUUGGAAACAGGUGCUAAUACCGUAUAACACUAUUUUCCGCAUGGAAGAAAGUUGAAAGGCGCUUUUGCGUCACUGAUGGAUGGACCCGCGGUGCAUUAGCUAGUUGGUGAGGUAACGGCUCACCAAGGCAACGAUGCAUAGCCGACCUGAGAGGGUGAUCGGCCACACUGGGACUGAGACACGGCCCAGACUCCUACGGGAGGCAGCAGUAGGGAAUCUUCGGCAAUGGACGAAAGUCUGACCGAGCAACGCCGCGUGAGUGAAGAAGGUUUUCGGAUCGUAAAACUCUGUUGUUAGAGAAGAACAAGGAUGAGAGUAAAAUGUUCAUCCCUUGACGGUAUCUAACCAGAAAGCCACGGCUAACUACGUGCCAGCAGCCGCGGUAAUACGUAGGUGGCAAGCGUUGUCCGGAUUUAUUGGGCGUAAAGCGAGCGCAGGCGGUUUCUUAAGUCUGAUGUGAAAGCCCCCGGCUCAACCGGGGAGGGUCAUUGGAAACUGGGAGACUUGAGUGCAGAAGAGGAGAGUGGAAUUCCAUGUGUAGCGGUGAAAUGCGUAGAUAUAUGGAGGAACACCAGUGGCGAAGGCGGCUCUCUGGUCUGUAAC